UACGAAGGGGGCUAGCGUUGCUCGGAAUCACUGGGCGUAAAGGGUGCGUAGGCGGGUUUUUAAGUCAGAGGUGAAAUCCUGGAGCUCAACUCCAGAACUGCCUUUGAUACUGAAAGUCUUGAGUAUGGGAGAGGUGAGUGGAACUGCGAGUGUAGAGGUGAAAUUCGUAGAUAUUCGCAAGAACACCAGUGGCGAAGGCGGCUCACUGGCCCAUUCGUGACGCUGAGGCACGAAAGCGUGGG
rnacentral:rRNA from 1 species